UUGAAAGUUGAAGGGCACACAGUAGGGAUAUUGGAAAGCAGGAGGAGCGGAUUUAUCAAGAGAGCGUCUCCGCCGCAUCGGAGUUGCAGUCCGCUACCUCCACACCACCCAAUAUCUACGCCGAAUUUGCAUUAUUUUAGUUAUAUCAGCCACAUUUAUUGUCAUUUUUAAAACAAUAAAUUAAUAUUAAAGUUGCAGCACACCUCUCCAUUCAUAUCACCGUUUCUCUCUCUCUGUCUUUUGUGGUCUUUGGCAACUCGAAUAAAGUUUGGUUGAUCUCGGGGAAGAAAGGUCCCCUCCUUUCUCUGAAGCUCUAGGGGUUUUGGGUUUUGGGUUCUGGGGGUUUGUGGGUUUUGGGGUUAAGGAAGAGGGGGAGGAGAUCUAUGGCGCAAAUGGAGAGUGGUGUUUUGGAUGAUAUAAUUGACAGGCUUAUGGAGUUUCGGCAGGGGAAGUCGGGGAAGCAGGUUCCGCUGAUGGAGUCGGAGAUCCGCCAGCUCUGUACUGUUUCCAGAGAGAUCUUUCUUCAGCAGCCUAAUCUUCUUGAGCUGGAGGCACCAAUUAAGAUCUGCGGUGAUAUUCAUGGGCAAUACAGUGAUCUUUUAAGGCUCUUUGACUAUGGGGGAUAUCCUCCUGAAGCCAAUUAUUUAUUUCUAGGGGACUAUGUGGACCGUGGAAAACAGAGUUUGGAAACAAUAUGCCUUCUGCUUGCUUAUAAAAUUAAAUACCCAGAGAACUUCUUUCUCUUAAGAGGAAAUCAUGAGUGUGCUUCUAUUAACAGGAUUUAUGGAUUCUAUGAUGAAUGUAAACGUCGGUUCAAUGUUAGACUUUGGAAGACGUUCACAGAUUGUUUUAAUUGUCUCCCUGUGGCUGCUCUGAUAGAUGACAAGAUAUUGUGCAUGCAUGGUGGUCUUUCCCCUGACCUAACAAAUUUGGAUCAAAUUAGAAAAUUGUCCCGUCCAACUGAUGUUCCAGACUCUGGUUUGCUUUGUGAUUUACUUUGGUCGGAUCCUGGUAGAGAUAUCAAGGGUUGGGGAAUGAAUGACAGGGGAGUCUCUUUCACUUUCGGUCCAGAUAAAGUUUCAGAAUUCUUAAACAAGCAUGAUAUGGACCUUAUUUGUCGUGCCCACCAGGUUGUGGAAGAUGGAUAUGAAUUCUUUGCAGACAGACAGCUUGUUACAAUAUUUUCUGCUCCCAACUAUUGUGGUGAAUUUGAUAAUGCUGGUGCAAUGAUGAGUGUUGAUGAAAGCUUAAUGUGCUCUUUUCAAAUUCUUAAGCCAAAGUUUAUGUGAACAAAGAUAUGAUAACAGCUGUCUCAAUUUUCCCUAGAAAUUGAAAAGCUGAUUUGUUGAAUCUUCAAGAAUGAUCAGAAAAUGCAUGAAGCAAGUUGUCUGGGAAGCACAACUGGUGUCUAAUGGCGUUUACUCAGUCCUGCACUUCCAAUUUCUGGGGGAAAGACUACUCAAAGGAGACAGUGGCUUAUAAGAUUCCAGUAACUACUAGAGGAGGAGUUGCAAACUUGGUAUCAUCCUGUUAGCAUGCUGAAGGUGGUAGCAGCUGUGGUUAGGAGAGGAAAUGUCUGACCUCUUAGUUGGAAGACAACUGUGUUUUAGCCUUUAGGAGAGAGCAACAAGUAUCUGGAUAAUUUGUGCUGAAUAUCUAUGUGGGGGCUGUAAAUACAUUUGGUUCUGUAAAUGACCUGAGGAGGCUGAUUGUAGAAUAUAUGGAGACCCCAGUAUGAUUGCCUCAACUCUUUGGAUUUCUCUAAUGGAUCCUUCAAUGGAGCUUUGAUUUCAAAUCUUUCUGCA